ACACCUCAACUCUUCAUGGUUUUCUGUGAUGAGCUUGGACUUUGGGGGUUUUGCUGGCCUAUGGUCGGCUCCUCUGAAAUGAAUCAGCUUGCCGGUGUUUGGUGGGCAUCACAGGUGUGAUAACUAUCUACGCUCGUGGUUUUCCACCAGGUAACCUUCAGCAGUGGAGGUUCACUGGAGCUCACAGAUGUCUCUCCUCAGCGAGGACAGCCCUUUGAAU
rnacentral:misc_RNA from 1 species